AUGGAUUUCAGCUCAAUAUUAAGAAAAACAUUCCGGUUGGUGAGCUUGUCAAGAGCAGGCACCCUUCCCCGGAUGGCACGCACAAGGCACAUGCCAGUUAAUGGUGCAGCUAGACCUUGUGGAGGACCCUGUAAGGGGGACAAGCAGCAACAUAUCAAAGGCAGAUCAUGGCACCGGGCUUGGAGUCCUGCACCUCCCUUCCAGCUGCUACUCCAGAGAAGGUCCACUGUCAAGUCCAGCCAAGCCCAGACCCAGCCUUGGUUUAGGAAAUAAUCACUGAUACCACAUUGUAAUUAAUGUAGGAGCCACGUCUGAAUAUAUUAAGAUUUUGUUCCUAAAAGACUCUGAAAAGAAGACAGUAUUUUUCAACAUCUUGUGUUGAAUGGGUAUAGAGGAUGCUUCAAGAAGGGCUUUCAAGACCCAUCCCUUAAUGACAAGCCUCAAACCAGAUUUGGUCCAGUCUGCUUAGUAGCUGCAUUUGGAGGCAACGCCUCUGCCUUGCAGCCUGUGAGGUGGACACAGCACCUUGUGGGCAGGUGGUGGGGAGGCCUCAGUGAGAUGGCAGGUAGGGUACCUUGCAUCAGUCAGGGUUACAGGCAGUGCUUCGUGUGGGGCCGCCCCUCUCCCCCGGUUCCCUUCUACUCCUCCAAGCAGAUCUGCAAGAAAGUGGAUUGAAACUCAGGAUUUAGAAGGGAUUCUUCUGUAUGGAGGGUGAAGUGAAGAUUCUUCAUGACCUCUUCAGUUGUCAGCACGCGAGAUGUCAUUACAGUAUCAGUAACUAACUGCUCACAGGUGUGUGCACCACAGUGCAAAAGUUGCAUUCCCGGUUCUCAACUGAUUUAGCCUUUAUGGGAACUCUGUAAGCAGAACAGAUGGCGGGGGUAGGGGAGUCUCCUGAGGAUGAAGCGACUCAUUGAGAGUGACAAGGUGAGGUGGCAUCCACUGUGGAAAGGCCUGAGGCAGCAGCCACUUUGGGAAACUCAGGGGCAUAUGAGUCUAAAUCAAACUCUAUGCUCAGGGAGGAUGAGGAGCCUAUUAAGGUCAAGCACCUUAGGUUUCUCCCACUGUUUUUCAAAUAUGCUUUUUGAAUAAUAUGAUUGCUUUGGCUCUUGGACCAUUACGAAUCUUACAGAGACAGUCUCAGAAGACUUGGGGACUAGCUGGUGGCCAGUUCCUCAGGUGACAUAAGGUCUGAUUCUAAAGCACUACUUCUUUUUUUUUUUUAGGGCUGCACCUGAGGCAUAUGGACGUUCACAGCCACAGAAAAGCAAGGAUCCGAGCUGCAUCUGUGACCUACACCAAAGCUCAUGGCAAUGCCAGCUCUCUGACCCACUAAGCGAGGCCAGGGAUCAAACCUGCAUCCUUAUGGAUACUAGUCAGAUUCGUUUCCACUGAGCCAUGAUGGGAACUCCCUAAAGCACUAUUUCUUAACCUGGCUGCAUCUAAUAAAUAACUGGAAAGCUUAAAAAACUCUGUGACU
rnacentral:lncRNA from 1 species